rnacentral:rRNA from 1 species
AUACGUAGGGUGCGAGCGUUAAUGGGAAUUACUGGGCGUAAAGCGUGCGCAGGCGGUUUUGUAAGUCAGAUGUGAAAUCCCCGGGCUUAGCCUGGGAACUGCGUUUGAAACUGCAAGGCUAGAGUGUGGCAGAGGGGGGUGGAAUUCCGCGUGUAGCAGUGAAAUGCGUAGAGAUGUGGAGGAACACCGAUGGCGAAGGCAGCCCCCUGGGUCAACACUGACGCUCAGGCACGAAAGCAUGGGGAGCAAACAGGAUUAGAAACCCCGGUAGUCC